AUACCUUUCUCGGCCUUUUGCCUAAGAUCAAAUUUAGUAUCUGUUUUUAUGGGUUAAAGGUAACCAUUUUCUUUACCUUUUGGGAGAACAUGACUAUUUUAGCUUCUUUUAUCCAAGAGGCAGCAUUUGCGUUUAGCUCACAGAUUGAGUGCUCAUUUUCUAAAUGCAUGACCCGUAUGUUAGGAUCAUUUUC
rnacentral:snRNA from 1 species